rnacentral:tRNA from 1 species
AUUUAAAUAGUUUAAUAAAAAACAUUGGUUUGUGGUACCAAAAAUAUAAUUAUAUUUAUUUUAAAUC